GAGCGAGAAAGGGGCUUCGGCCCUGAGUACAGCGGCGCACGGGUGAGUAACACGUGGGUAAUCUGCCCUAGAGUGGGGAAUAACACCGGGAAACCGGUGCUAAUACCGCAUACGAUCGCGAUGUCUUCGGAUGUUGUGAUGAAAGGAGCAAUUCGCUCUUGGAGGAGCCCGCGGCUGAUUAGCUAGUUGGUGAGGUAACGGCUCACCAAGGCAACGAUCAGUAGCCGGUCUGAGAGGACGGUCGGCCACACUGGAACUGAGACACGGUCCAGACUCCUACGGGAGGCAGCAGUGGGGAAUUUUUCGCAAUGGGGGCAACCCUGACGAAGCAACGCCGCGUGGGUGAUGAAGUCUCUUGGGACGUAAAACCCUUUCGACGGGGAAGAAACCGCAAGGUUGACGGUACCCGUAGAAGAAGCCCCGGCUAACUCCGUG
rnacentral:rRNA from 1 species